AUCUUCAUGAGGUGUAAUGGCGCCGGGAUGCGCUCUCCUCUUCUCAUUUGCCAAUUUAUUGCAGAUCCCUCCUCAAAAAAGUUUUGGGACUAACUCAGCCCCAUGGAGAUCAAGGUGGGUGGGUGACUUCUAGAAGAGGAAAAUCAAGAAGAUUUGGAGAAGGAGUCUUGGAAGCUCUGGUGAAGUUUUCCAAAACUGGGAAGGACAGAGCCACAGGUCUGCCUGUUCUUUUGCUUUGCCAUUUGUGUGGAUACCUAGUAGAGCAAUUUGGGUGCCAUUCUUUGAGGAAUCCAUUGGAUCUGUCAGAAAGCUGAGUCUGCUCAGCCUGUGUUAGUGGAGAAGAGGGAAGGAAACUGGCUGGAGGCCGCUGGACCCACAGAGGACAAUAGACAAUCUCCUGCUGAUGCCCACUGGAUCCAAAGAGAGAAACUCUAUAGAAUUAUGAUCUAGGUUUGACUGACUCCUGGCAAGAAGCCCUACCCGCCAGCCAAUUUGGAUGAGGUCACAGGGGUCAUCCAUCUUUCCUUCUAUGUGACUGGUUUGCUCUUGCAUAUCAUGUUUUCCGCUCUUAUGCUCCAGAUCCAUCAUGAGAAGAACAUGCCCUGGAUUCCUGCUAUCCCUUUAGCCAUGGCUCCAAAAUUAACACACACAAGGAAGACCUGAGGUCAAUCCACAGCCUGGAUUCAAGUCACCUAAUACAUAGGAGAAUCAGAGCUACCCAGCCACACUCAAUCUACGUUAACUGAACCUCAGCUGACCUGCAGAUUUAUGAGUAUGAGAAUAAAGGCUUGUUAAUG
rnacentral:lncRNA from 1 species